rnacentral:rRNA from 1 species
AUUGAACGUUUGCGGCAGGCUUAACACAUGCAAGUCGAGCGGGGUGAUGGUGCUUGCACUAUCACUUAGCGGCGGACGGGUGUUUAAUGCUUAGGAAUCUGCCUAUUAGUGGGGGACAACAUUUCGAAAGGAAUGCUAAUACCGCAUACGUCCUACGGGAGAAAGCAGGGGAUCUUCGGACCUUGCGCUAAUAGAUGAGCCUAAGUCGGAUUAGCUAGUUGGUGGGGUAAAGGCCUACCAAGGCGACGAUCUGUAGCGGGUCUGAGAGGAUGAUCCGCCACACUGGGACUGAGACACGGCCCAGACUCCUACGGGAGGCAGCAGUGGGGAAUAUUGGACAAUGGGCGCAAGCCUGAUCCAGCCAUGCCGCGUGUGUGAAGAAGGCCUUAUGGUUGUAAAGCACUUUAAGCGAGGAGGAGGCUACUUUAGUUAAUACCUAGAGAUAGUGGACGUUACUCGCAGAAUAAGCACCGGCUAACUCUGUGCCAGCAGCCGCGGUAAUACAGAGGGUGCAAGCGUUAAUCGGACUUACUGGGCGUAAAGCGCGCGUAGGCGGCUAAUUAAGUCAAAUGUGAAAUCCCCGAGCUUAACUUGGGAAUUGCAUUCGAUACUGGUUAGCUAGAGUGUGGGAGAGGAUGGUAGAAUUCCAGGUGUAGCGGUGAAAUGCGUAGAGAUCUGGAGGAAUACCGAUGGCGAAGGCAGCCAUCUGGCCUAACACUGACGCUGAGGUGCGAAAGCAUGGGGAGCAAACAGGAUUAGAUACCCUGGUAGUCCAUGCCGUAAACGAUGUCUACUAGCCGUUGGGGCCUUUGAGGCUUUAGUGGCGCAGCUAACGCGAUAAGUAGACCGCCUGGGGAGUACGGUCGCAAGACUAAAACUCAAAUGAAUUGACGGGGGCCCGCACAAGCGGUGGAGCAUGUGGUUUAAUUCGAUGCAACGCGAAGAACCUUACCUGGCCUUGACAUAGUAAGAACUUUCCAGAGAUGGAUUGGUGCCUUCGGGAACUUACAUACAGGUGCUGCAUGACUGUCGUCAGCUCGUGUCGUGAGAUGUUGGGUUAAGUCCCGCAACGAGCGCAACCCUUUUCCUUAUUUGCCAGCGAGUAAUGUCGGGAACUUUAAGGAUACUGCCAGUGACAAACUGGAGGAAGGCGGGGACGACGUCAAGUCAUCAUGGCCCUUACGGCCAGGGCUACACACGUGCUACAAUGGUCGGUACAAAGGGUUGCUACCUAGCGAUAGGAUGCUAAUCUCAAAAAGCCGAUCGUAGUCCGGAUUGGAGUCUGCAACUCGACUCCAUGAAGUCGGAAUCGCUAGUAAUCGCGGAUCAGAAUGCCGCGGUGAAUACGUUCCCGGGCCU